rnacentral:sRNA from 1 species
UAUGAGAUUCAAGCUUUGUAAAAUAUCAGUAUCCACUUGUCACCAGCUCGGAAGACAUCAAAAUUUUUUCUCUAGUUCUCAUUUUUUCCUUUAAUCAAUUCUGUGAUUAAAAAUGUGCGGACCUUGUGGUGGCUGUGGACCUUGUGGACCUUGCGGUCCUUGCUGUGGUCCUUGUGGACCUUGCGGUCCUUGCUGCGGACCUUGUGGUCCCUGCUGUGCACCAUGCGGACCGUGUUGUGGACCUUGUGGACCUUGCUGCGGACCAUGCGGCAAAAGGAACGGACUUCAAUGCCCUUGAGGCUUAGUUGCGUUGUUUAGAAAACUGUACAUUUGAACCCUGGGUUCAUGACUCACCAACAGCAUCUUCUCCAGAAUUGCUUCUUAAAGGUUGUGGAGACUAGAGAUAUUACUUGUGUAAUUUAACAGUCUUCAAUAAAAUACGAAAAUACUAGAACAAAUUA